rnacentral:lncRNA from 1 species
UUAAGGAUAUACAGGAUAUUUUCAUAAGAAAAAAACAAGUGCAGGUGUGCUUUGAAAAUGACCUUUAACUGAGGAGUCUGGUUACAUAAAGAUGAACGGUCUAAUGAUCUCAUCUCCUCCCAGUGGUUUGAAACCUCUAUUUUUUCUUAUCAUGUUUUUCGGGAGCAGAAAUUUGUUCUAUGAACUUAGAAAUUCAAAAAAUGUGACAUUAUUACCGCACCUUCUUUGUUCCACCCUCUUUCCCCAACUCCAUUUCUUUAGGCCAUAGAAAAUGAGGCAGCCUACACAACCCAGUCCUCAAACUCUUGCUUAGAAUAGGGUACAGGAAUGUGAGGAGAAAACAAAUAUGACUUAAAGAAGAUUGGAAGAGGACCAAAUGGUCAUUCACUGUGUAUCAUAAUAACAUCUGAGAGACAUGCCCAAAUACAAGCAAAGUGAAAAGAAAUACACGGAAUAGCACAAACUUAUUAAAACAAUAGCAAUCAAAGAAAAAGAAUACCAGGCAAAAGGCCAACCAAAACAACAACACAGAGGAAACACAAUACAAAAGACAGAGGAAAGUCCUCUCAAUUCUUCAUGGGAUGGAAAAACUGACACAUUACAAAAAAGCCCAAAGAUGAACAAAACACAAUAGAAUUGAUAUAGAGGGGCAUAAUUAAAUUGAGGAUCUAACAAUAUUACAAUAGAGAAUAGAAACAAGAAAUAAUAUAGGUAUUUCUAGAAAUUAAAUGACUUGCAUGGACAAAAACAAAAUGAAUAGAAGUGAAAAAGACAAAGGAGUAACAUUAGUCAGUGAAAAGCUAUUAGACAUUGAAGACAGACAAUGAAAGUCCAAUAUAAGAAAAACCAGUGUCCCUGAGUCAAGAACCAAACAGAUACCUGAUGGUACAUGCAAAGAUUAAGAUAAGAGAAGUUCUUGAAACUAAAAGUUUAAAUUUGCAUAUCAAACAUACCUUUUUUUCUGUGAAACUUAAUGGGGAAUAAAAACAUCAAGAUAAAUCCUAAUUAUGCUAUUGAACUUCAAGAUAAGGAAAUAAUACUUCACGUGUUCAAACAGCAAAGUAAAUCUCACACAGCAGAGAACGGUAAUCACAUUGGCCUCAGACUUCUCCACAGCAACAUUCAGUAUUUCUCUAAAAUUUAUAAGGAGGUAUAUGGAAACUUUUUGUUCAAUUUUUCUGUUAACUUAAAACUACUCCAAAAAAUAAAAUAUUAUUUUUAAGAAAUUCUGAGGAAAAGACAGCCUGAGCCAAGUGUAUCAUUCCCAAUCAUUUCAUUGUUAGAAUGAUACACAGUGAAGUCACAGAUUAUAAUAUCCAUGCAUUCAUUUUAAGGGAAAUGAAAAUGUAAUAAUAAAACAUAAAGCCCAGCUAAUUGAAAUUGAAUCAAACAAGAAUUCCGAGGUGAAAAAUAAUGUUUAAAGUGAGAAAGUCUUUUCAAACCCCCAUAUCAGCAAUAAAAAAAUAGGGUCAAAGAUCCCUGGUGGUCAAGCCAUCCUUAGGGUCCUGACCUGGUCUCAGGAGGCACGGUUGUACAUUCAGGACCACUUCUUUCUCCCUCUCUACCAUGGAGCUGAGAUUUGAGGGCUGUUCACCCGGGACCCCACUCCUGGCCCAGUCUAAACCAGGUGCCCCACUCUGAGCCCUGGACAUAGGAGUCAGUCCAGGGGUGAGAUAGGAUCCAGGGGGGUCAACCAGAGUGACUCCUUUGGGGUUUGUCACUGUGCUGAUGAAGAAAGCUCUAGAAAGUCUAGGAAAUCAAGCUGGGAGGAUGAUAACAUGGAAAUGCAGCCAUGUUCUCCUCUUGUGAUGAAAGUCUCACUGCCAAGGGGAGAUUGGGACUGAUGCUGAGAAAGAAGGUUUGAGGGAAAGGAUGCUGAAACCUGGGUCAUCUGUCUCCUGUUCUUCACCACCCUGGAACUUUGAGGGUGGGAGAGAGUGGAAAGGGACAUGGGGCCACGGGCCUCUGUUCUUCAAGGCUCUGUUCCUCAAGGGGCCUUUAAGAGGUGAUUAGACCCUCUGGAUCUGUUGGUUCUGGCACUUGCUCUGUAACUCAAUGACCUCUCCAGCAUCCUUCAAAUACACCUCUUUCCAUGGGAGCAGAUUUUGUUGGCUUUUGGCUACUGGCACUUAGAGUUCUAAUUAGUGUCUACCCCUUCAGUCUUCAGAGUCCUCAGGAUGGAGGAAGUCACCAUAAAAAGCAAUGGGAGAGAGGAUCUCUGUUACCUUAAGACUCCCACCAACCUCCUCCCUCCUACCCAGUCAUAGACUGGAUAGAAACUCUGCUCAGCCCAGGCAAGAUGCCAGCAGCUCCCUUCCUGGUCAUGAUGUCACAGGUCCUGACAUUCCACACUGUCCUGGAGACCAAGGCUGGGACACUUAAGACUUUUAUAAGGUCCUUCUCCCUCAGCUGGAGGGAGCACAGCAGUGAGCCAAGGAGACGGGACCCUCUGCUUUGUCCUCCUGCUGUGCUGCUGGCAAGAAGUGAAGACCUGGCCAAUAAGAAUGAAUUCAGGUUCAAGUUCUGGACUGCCGUCAAGUUAGUCAAGUUUUAAAAAUAUGGAUGACGAUAUGACCACAGUAUUUGGGCUCUGCAGGUGAUGCUAAAGUACAGCCGGCUGAGAACUGCUGCCCUGGGCCAGGGCCGUCCAAUAGAAACACAGCAUGAGCCGAAGAUGUGCUUUUCAUUGUCUAGUGGCCACAUUAAAAAGAUGCAGAUGAAACUCAUUGCAAUAACAUUGUAUUUCACGUGAUGAUUUCAACAUGGGAUCAGUGUCAAAUUACUAGUGAGAUGUUUCAGUCUUUCCAUCACGCUGGCUCUCCACAGUUCCAUGUGUCCUUUGCCUUCACGGCCAUUUCCACGUAGACAGCCGCGCUCCAGGGUGUGAGCGCUUAGCCAGUGCCUGCACUUCUGCUCUGACCUCUCGUUUUACAUGUGGGUAAACUGAGGCCCAGAAUGCUGGGACUCAGAGCAUGCAGUCCUGACCCCUGCUCACAUCGAUGCCCUUGGGAAACAGUCACCUCCCAGGACCUCUCUGCCAGCAUUGCCUGUGGAGUGGGGUCGGGGUAGAGGAUGGGGCCACCUUCCACCCGGCAGGGCCCGGGACUGCGGCUGUGAAGGCUGCACGGCCUCGAACAGGGGCUCCCGUGGGAACGCAGGGCCCCCAGGUGCUGGGCCCUUUCCAGGAGCUGUCGCUGUCAGAAGUCAGGCUUUGCUCCCUUUCCACAUCUGGGUGGGAGAGGCCUGGGAAAAGCUCUGCCUGCCUGCGUGUUUGAUGGGUUAGGUGGAUGGAUGAGUGAGCGCUCCAGUGAAUGAAUGGGUGUUCCCAUUCUCGCUUCUGCCGCCCCGUCCACUUUCUGGGUACUCAAGCGAACUGCCCCAGGCAGGAGUUAGACUCCCCAAGGUCAAGGAAUGGCUGUGACUGGACUCACUUUCCUGGUGAAUCUGGCGGUUGCCAGAUUCUGAGAGUUUUAGUCCUGAGACCAGCACCUGCUCCAGCCAGUGUCUCAGCCACCCCCAGAGAAACAGUGGCCUCAGAAAAGGAUUCUGGAAGAGGAAAGAGUGGCUGGCAUUUCUGAUAUUUUUCCUGGGUCCUGACCAACUAAACCUAGAAGGAAGCAGCAGCUCUUACCCCCAUCCACACCCCCAGAUUUCUUCUAGGUAGAAAGCUGAAAGCAUUGACAGUGAGAAUUCAAAUCCCUGUGGAGGUCAGUGAAGCCCACCCAGGCAGGCCAGGCCGAGACUCUCUGUCCAGAGCUUGCUGUGGGAGGGCAGUCACCACCAUCACGUGCAAUCUCAAAGC